GACUUCCGGGAUGACACCCCUCGUUUAAGGGCCGUGCUGUAGAUCGAACAACGUCUCUGUGGCCACACACGUCCGUGUGUUUCCAGAUAUGUCCAGAAGUCAGUUCGCACCGGGGACGAAGCCUCUCGAUACAAUUUUCUGGGAAAACGAGAUAACUGGAGAAAUCACCUACUGCCCAUGGGAGGCCCCCAUGGAAGGCGUGCCCCAGGAGUCCCGCCCUCAGCAUGAGGGCAUGCAGGGGACUCCUCCCCUUGCCCAGCGCCCACCCACCACUCCUGCGCAGAGGCCUACCCCUGUACCUUCUCCCAAGGCCUCACUGAAAGACAAGAGCUCAAGAUAUCUCUCACCCUGGGCACCCACCCAAGGCCAGGCCACCCCUGGGGCCAGGAGCACCUCGCAGUACCCAGAGAUCGCUAUCACCAUGCCACCACCAGAGGGCGCUCCGCCAACACUCAGCCCUCUGUGCCUGGGCCAUCAGGCCACCUCUUCUCCCCAUCCUUCUGCCCCCUGGGCCUUCACCUGCGAGAUGAAACAUGUUAACAGAAAUGACCCAUUUUCUUUUUGAGGCCGGGGAGUUACGUGGGUGGCUGUGUCCUUAGGUGCCCUUCUGAGCCAUCGGGGCUGGAGCAGCCACACUGACCCCUGGCCACAUUUAUGCUCUGCAGAGGACCUUGCCAAAUGCUUCCAAUACCGAUAUAAAUCUUGCCUAGAUUAAAACAA